CCAAUAGCGUAUAUUAAAGUUGUUGCAGUUAAAAAGCUCGUAGUUGAAUUUCGGGGUUAGUAGGUUGGUCAUGCCUCUGGUAUGUACUGGUCUCACUGAUUCCUCCUUCCUGAUGAGCCGUAAUGCCAUUAAUUUGGUGUUGCGGGGAAUUUGGACUGUUACUUUGAAAAAAUUAGAGUGUUUAAAGCAAGCUAACGCUUGAAUACAUUAGCAUGGAAUAAUGAAAUAGGACGUUCGAUCCUAUUUUGUUGGUUUCUAGGAUUGACGUAAUGAUUAAUAGGGAUAGUUGGGGGCAUUAGUAUUCAAUUGUCAGAGGUGAAAUUCUUGGAUUUAUUGAAGACUAACUACUGCGAAAGCAUUUGCCAAGGAUGUUUUCAUUAAUCAAGAACGAAAGUUAGGGGAUCGAAGACGAUCAGAUAUCGUUGUAGUCUUAACAGUAAACUAUGCCGACUAGGGAUCGGGCGAACUCAAAUUUAUGUGUCGCUCGGCACCUUACG
rnacentral:rRNA from 1 species